rnacentral:rRNA from 1 species
GACGAACGCUGGCGGCGUGCUUAACACAUGCAAGUCGAACGAUGACGGUGGUGCUUGCACCACCUGAUUAGUGGCGAACGGGUGAGUAACACGUGAGUAACCUGCCCCUCACUUCGGGAUAACCUCGGGAAAUCGUGGCUAAUACCGGAUAUGAGCUCCUGCUGCAUGGUUUCUGUGUGGAAAGUUUUUCGGUUGGGGAUGGACUCGCGGCCUAUCAGCUUGUUGGUGAGGUAAUGGCUCACCAAGGCGACGACGGGUAGCCGGCCUGAGAGGGCGAUCGGCCACACUGGGACUGAGACACGGCCCAGACUCCUACGGGAGGCAGCAGUGGGGAAUAUCGCACAAUGGGCGAAAGCCUGAUGCAGCGACGCCGCGUGAGGGAUGAAGGCCUUCGGGUUGUAAACCUCUUUCAGUAGGGAAGAAGCGCAAGUGACGGUACCUACAGAAGAAGCACCGGCUAACUACGUGCCAGCCGCCGCAGUAAGAC